CCUACGGGAGGCAGCAGUAGGGAAUAUUGGACAAUGGACGCAAGUCUGAUCCAGCCAUCCCGCGUGAAGGAUUAAGGCCCUAUGGGUUGUAAACUUCUUUUCUUUGGGAAUAAAAAGCGGUAUUCAUAUCGCCUUGAAGGUACCAGAGGAAUAAGCACCGGCUAACUCCGUGCCAGCAGCCGCGGUAAUACGGAGGGUGCAAGCGUUAUCCGGAUUCACUGGGUUUAAAGGGUGCGUAGGUGGCUUUGUAAGUCAGCGGUGAAAGCCUGGAGCUCAACUCCAGAAUUGCCAUUGAUACUGCAGAGCUUGAAUCAAGUUGAGGUGGAUGGAAUAUUACAUGUAGCGGUGAAAUGCUUAGAUAUGUAAUAGAACACCGAUUGCGAAGGCAGUUCACUAAGCUUGUAUUGACACUGAGGCACGAAAGCGUGGGGAUCAAACAGGAUUAGAUACCCUGGUAGUCCACGCCCUAAACGAUAGCAAACUCGACAUUAGCGAUAUACAGUUAGUGUCCAAGCGAAAGCGUUAAGUUUGCCACCUGGAAGUACGACCGCAAGUUGAAACUCAAAUGAAUUGAGG
rnacentral:rRNA from 1 species